rnacentral:lncRNA from 1 species
UGCUGUUACGUUUCUCCGUCGAGCAGGUGAGGGCCUGCCGCCUCCGUCGAUCCUCCGAGCUCCGUCGUGCGUCGGAAGUUCGUCGUCGUGCCGCUCUCCUUGGUUACAGAGCAGGGUAGCCGCAAUUCUCCCCUUUCGAAGCUAGGUUUUCUAUUCCAUCCAUACAAUCUAGCCCUAAUUCUAUUUCUUACUUUUUAUUCUUGCUGAAUUCGGCAAAUUGAUGUUUGAGUUUGUACUUGUGAGUGUGAGUUACUCAUUAUUGCUGAGUUAAGCUGAAUAAUGGGCAAAGAUGGCUUAAUUUAACGAAUUUACGUAUUUGGCUAAUUUGUUGAACGGAGUUGGUUAUGAAUGUGUGGUGUGAUGCUAUCCUCAAUUCCUUACUAUCAGUGUAUUAUGUAUGUGGUGAUGUUUCUCCUGUACGUUUUAAGAAUUUUAUCAAGAGAAAUCUAAUAAUAGAUGAGGCACUUUCAAGAUUCAUAUAUCCUAUUUGUUCGUUGAAGUUUAUGCAAUUGCAGAAAUUGAGAUUUUAGAUUUUGGUACGUGGAAAGGAAUCAGUAGGAUUAUUUUUUAUCUGAUGUCUUGCUGGGAUCUGAUUCGUGUGAAUGUGAUCGACAGGGAACAGAGCAAAAUGAUGAGGUUGCAAACCUAUGGAGGGAUUAGUUUAAUAGCUUGAUCUAGCUUCACAUAUUUACGACUUUGACAUUGG